AGCGAACGCUGGCGGCAGGCUUAACACAUGCAAGUCGAGCGGGCGUAGCAAUACGUCAGCGGCAGACGGGUGAGUAACGCGUGGGAACAUACCUUUUGGUUCGGAACAACACAGGGAAACUUGUGCUAAUACCGGAUAAGCCCUUACGGGGAAAGAUUUAUCGCCGAAAGAUUGGCCCGCGUCUGAUUAGCUAGUUGGUGAGGUAACGGCUCACCAAGGCGACGAUCAGUAGCUGGUCNGAGAGGAUGAUCAGCCACAUUGGGACUGAGACACGGCCCAAACUCCUACGGGAGGCAGCAGUGGGGAAUAUUGGACAAUGGGCGCAAGCCUGAUCCAGCCAUGCCGCGUGAGUGAUGAAGGCCCUAGGGUUGUAAAGCUCUUUUGUCAGGGAAGAAACGGGCCGGGCUAAUACCUUGGCCUAAUGACGGUACCUGAAGAAUAAGCACCGGCUAACUACGUGCCAGCAGCCGCCGCUGUAAC
rnacentral:rRNA from 1 species